rnacentral:lncRNA from 1 species
AUGGGAAGCCUGAGCUGGGGAAAUAUUCCCUGUUUUGAUAUAAAUGACUGUUUCUGUUUCUCCAGACUCUGCCGUAAUCUGCUCCCAGCGCGAGGGAGGCGAGCGUGCCGGCUCGGUGCAUGGGAACCCGCCCGUCUAAAGGAGCUGGAAGAUGGAUGCGGUGCAUCCCGGCCGGACCGAGCCCCCGGCCCCACGGCAGCCGGAGGCGCAGGAACGACCGAACCGGCGGAUGGUGGACCGGCUGAGCCCAGAGCUCCGGACGGAGAAAUACAUCCUACUGAGCAUGGACGGGAAGCUGCUGGGACCGGAGCUGAGCCGGAUCCGGAGCGAGAUGGCCCUGCCGCUGGAACGCCCGGACGCCGACCUACCCCAGGACCUGCCCUCCGGCUACCUCUGCCGCCAGCGCCGUUCCCUGCCCACCUUCCCGCUGCCCCCCGGCCCCCAGACCCCCGCCGAGCUCAGGUAGGUGAUGCCGACGGCACCUCCCGGCGACGGGGUCCCGGCGAUGGCCGCCCGCGCCCCCCGCCCCCGACCCCCCCUCCCCGUCUUUUCCAGGAGCAGCUCGGACGUUCUCUGCGCUGGCCGGUUCCCGGCGGGACUCAGCCGGCUGGUGACCGGCAUGCAGACCCCGGUCUCGCCGCGACGCCGGGGCAGCCCACUGGCACCGGAGAGCGGCUGGGGAGGCGCGGGGCGGUGAGGGGAGCCCCCUCCCUGCUCCGUGCGGGGCGAGGGUGUGAAAUAAAGACACACCCCCCCCCCCGUUUCAAGG